rnacentral:rRNA from 1 species
UCAGGAUGAACGCUGGCGGCGUGCUUAACACAUGCAAGUCGAACGAUGAUGGNNRCUUGNUCNUGGAUUAGUGGCGAACGGGUGAGUAACACGUGAGUAACCUGCCCUUGACUCUGGGAUAAGCCUGGGAAACUGGGUCUAAUACCGGAUAUGACCUUCCAUCGCAUGGUGGUUGGUGGAAAGCUUUUGUGGUUUUGGAUGGACUCGCGGCCUAUCAGCUUGUUGGUGGGGUAAUGGCCUACCAAGGCGACGACGGGUAGCCGGCCUGAGAGGGUGACCGGCCACACUGGGACUGAGACACGGCCCAGACUCCUACGGGAGGCAGCAGUGGGGAAUAUUGCACAAUGGGCGCAAGCCUGAUGCAGCGACGCCGCGUGAGGGAUGACGGCCUUCGGGUUGUAAACCUCUUUCAGUAGGGAAGAAGCGUAAGUGACGGUACCUGCAGAAGAGC